UUGUUUUUGUUUUUUUUUUCUUCAGGUGUCUAUUCAUUAAUCAUUGUCUAAGAAAUACAUCUCAAGGCUUAUGUCUGAAGACAGCUGUAGUCAAGACUGCCAGCAGCAAGGUGAAGAUGACUGUGAUCUGCCAGUUGAAUGCUGAGCAUAUGGAAGGACAUCCUGUGCUAGGAACAAAAGGACAGUUAAGAAGAAUGAGGAAAAAGCAAACUUCAGCAGGAAAGCUUUGUAGUCCUUUGGGCACUGCUAGUUUAUUUUGGUUGUGGAUAAUUUUGUGUUUGUCUCUUUAGUUACUCCUUUCUAAGAACAACAUCAGCCAACAUUGAGCUGUGGUGCUUCAGGUUCUUUUCUGGGUUAAUCUGCAGGUUUAACUUGUGGACUGGCACGAGGACCAUCUGUUUAGUGUAGUUUGCAGGCAGAGUGAAGAUAUGAAUGUUGUAAUUGUCGGUAAUUCACUAAAUAGAGAAGGCAGAGAAUGUAAUUGAAUUUCUGUGUUUGUACUGAUGGACAUUUUGUAUAUAUGGAGUUGUUCAGUUGAAGCUUUGUUUUUCUCUCUUUCCCUUUCCCUUUUCCUUUUUCUUUCUACUCUUGCGAGUGGUUAUGCUGCUAAUUUUGUUCAUCUUUGAGAGUGCUUGUAAAGAAUGAAGUCAUCAUACCUUUGUUUUGUAUGUAGUGAUGCGGAGAAAAAUUUCUGGUUGUGCCUUCACUGUGUUUGAACAGUGAAAUGACUUACAGAUUUAGUAAGAAAUGGAGACAUUCUCUGUCACCCAAACUUCUUAUGUACUGUUGUGGUGAAAAUAGCUUAACACUCUGAGAAAGGAAACAUUUUGUGCUGUAUUUGUACCUCCACAUUUCCCAUCCCCACAGCUUAUACCUUGUGCUGACACUAAUAUUGCUUCCUCCUUGGCUCCAUUCUCAUUCAGUUCAGUCACUGUAUAUAAAAAUUUGCUCUUUGCUGUUCUGUAAACAUUUCUUCACAAGCAACAGCAUGCUUACAUGUGUUUCAUACUGACGCAAUACCCGAUAUUACACUUACUUGACAAGGAUCCUAACUGUUGCAUAAGCCAGAGCUGCUUUGCCUUGAUGUGUUCCUGGACUGCCUAGCUAGCUCUUAGACUUUUUUCUACACUUCUGUUUCCAUCUUCUCCAUUAUGCAUAGAGUGCGUUACUGUAACCUUACUGACUUACUGUUUUCACAUGUUCAUUUGUUUUUCUUCAAUUUAUUCAUAUGGUUUUUUAAAAAUGUAAAUCAUGGCUCAUUAAAAGAAGAGAGAAGGAAAUGUAAGAAUAUCCCAAGAGGUUCAAAUCCCAGGGCUAAAAGGCAAAAAAAGGUACAGAACUGCUGCAUAGAAGUAGGUUGCCUUCUCAUAUUCUGCACCAACUCAUGUCAACACUAAAGAAAAAGAUAUCAGAUUCAUAAUUCACAGAGAUGCCCUAGUUACUGACCUUAAUGUAUGCAUCACAUUCUUUAAAUUCUGACUUUACUAAUAAUCUAUCUAACUUUUCAUCAUGAGCCUUACUUUAUCUGUAAAGGGACAGCAAACUGGAAAAGAAAUUGUAGCUAAGUGGAAUGCGUGUUUAGGACAUUUGAAAUACUCUGGAGCACGCUGAGAAAGAAAAAAUGGAAAGGUUUGUAAAAAUUUGUUGCCUUUAAAGAAGGGUCUUUCCAACCUUGAUUUGGUAUUUUCAGGUCAUGUUGGAAGCCUCUACCUGAAACUACCACUAUCUGAAUCUCUAUGAGCUACAAUUCACAAACUCAAGCAGACAUGAACAACAAUUAAAAGCUCUGAAGCUCUGAAUCACACAAAUUCCAUGUACCUCCUCCUUACUGCAGAUUCAGUGUAGCUGAUUUUGUAGUGUCUCCUUCAAGAAUUACCAAUUUAUAUUUGUACUGUUAUUGCAUAUAGAGGCCUGAGUCUAUGCUGUGGUGAGUGGGGACACAUGAGAAAAGGAGAGACUGCUGGGUCAUGGUGGGAUUCUUCCCUGCUAUGCAAAACCAUGAAUUGUAAUUCAUGAAUCACAGACUUACUAUUAGCAAGCACAUCAAAUUUCACAAAAUACAAAGAAACAGAUGGAUUUUAGAACAUUCCAGGCAGAGAAAAAAUGAGAAAAUGGCUUGCUAUCUAUCCAUCAGACCUUUCUAUCUGCUUCUCAGAUCUUCCUGCCCAAUUAGAUCUGCUCUCUAAGCUGCCCCUGUGAGUGUGCUACAGUGUCUUUUAGUCAUGUAAACUCAUUGAAUGAUAUAUAUUUCUUAAUACAGUUCACUAGAUUGUGUAGAUUUAAUCCAGAUCAGACAUGAACAUGUGAUUCCAACCCUGUAACGUUAGCAGGAGAAUGUGAUGUGCAUGCUGGCUUUUUGCUCUUAGUCUGGUUCAUGCUGGUUACAAGAGGGCAGAUUUCUGACCCAGCAUAAAGCUGGAGCAGCACAGACAGACAAUACCUGAGGCAACAUCAGGUCUGCUAGGACAAAAUUACCUAUUCAGGGCUGUCUAAACAAAUGUGAAGUGGCGGAGUGAGUUUCUAGUAGUCUAAUGCUUUGUGCUAUGCAGCUAUGCAAUUUUGUACUCAAUGCUAGUUUUACAGAUGCCUUGAAACAAGCAUUGUGUGCCUUCAUACUUGAUUUAUCAUCUCAUGGUACCACUGCUUUGAAGAGUACAGGAGGCAGGUAUUAGCUAACACUAUACUUUUUCUCUGCAGCAAGGUAUAAGGCAAUUUCAGCUCAGCCAUCAGCAUAACUGGAUCUGCUUAUUGAUAAUGUCAGAAGUCAGUCUGCAAGAAAAGGGGCUCUAUACAUCUGUCUCUCCAUUUUUUUUUAAAAUAUAGGUGCAACUUAUCCAUGCCCAUAUGCUUAGCAGUCUAAAUUCAGUCAAUAUUGAAGAUACAUAAAAUACACUGUUCCCUUAUAUUUGUAUUAAAAAGUUUCAGGUGUAGUAUAGAUGUUUCUAGCUGUUGUGUGACCCAAACUACAGCAUUUAAAAAAAAUACAAUUCAUAGUUUACAGAAAGGAUGCAGAAAGAAGAACAAACAAGUUAAAUCAGGCUCUGUUUCUUUUUUUGGGGGGAACAUUUUAUUUGAAAGAAUCUUAUUUUCUUCCCACCUCUUCAUUUUUGACAGGUGUCAGUCAAGUUAUAAUCCAGACAUAAGAACAUUAUCAUUCUCCACCCCUUUUCUGAACUAUUUAUACAUGAAAGGAGGAAAACACGCUGUCACUGAAGAUGAUAACUGCCUAAUAAGUUGUUCUUUAUUUGUAAAAAUUCAUUUUGAAAAUCAUGCAAUAGAAGAAUAUACUUAGUAGUAAAUCUUUACAGAAAUAAUUUCUUAUCUUCGCUUAUUAUUACAGUAAAAGGUUGUAGGUUUUUUUUGUUGUUGUUAUAAUAUAAAUUACAUUCACUUGCUUCUUUAUAACUUAGCUAUACCUUCAUUCGGUCAGUGCAAAUGGUUUCUGAGGUGAGUUCAGAAUAACACAAAUACACUGCUAGUCACCUAAAUAAAUAGACAAGACAAAUUUCCUGAUUAAUCCAACUUACAGUGCUAUUAUCCAUAGAAGAAGUUCUUUCAUACAUGACUAAUCUGAGAAUGAUUAAUCUGUUCAGUAAGAAAUACUGCAGUACUGUCUGCAAUAACCAUUUAUAUGCCUAUCCUGCCAUACACACCUUCCACCCCAGGGCACCUAGACAUGGACUUAUGUUUGUGCUACUGAAUGCUACUUGUGUUGUAGACUAAAUACUAGCUGUAUAAUUUAGCACUCCAAUUCCUGCAGAUUAAAGCACUUUGUGCUAGAGUCAUGUUGCUGUUUGCAGACAGCUGUUUGUCUGUCUUUUGUAGACAUAUGAAUGGAAGAAUAGAGAGAAUUUCAGGAAACUAGUUAGCCCUGCCCAUUAAGUUAAUUGACUUUUUUAGAUUGAAGGCAAUUUGAACACCUUUUAAUCCACACCUGGCCAUCCCAUCUCAUAUAGGUUUUGUGAUGCAAUUUUGGGGGACCUACUCACAAAAACAUUUCCUACUCCUCCACCAGAGUAUGGAAUCAGACAAAGGUGGGAAUAGCACUCCACAGCCGCUCCCUAAGAGGCCAAUGUGAUGAACAGCCCCAGGGAUCAAAAUUUCAUCACAGGGUAAUCAGUAUUUAAGGUAAAAUUCUAAAGUAAGCUACUUGGACCUGAAUCAAGUCAUACCCAGAGAGGCAGAGAGCUGGGAUGAUUCUGCUGAUACGUCCGCAGGGGAUUUGUAAAGUCCUCUACCUCUAACAAGUCUUUCUUUCCAUUUGACACCCUCUCACCUAUACACUAAUGCUUUUUGGAGCUAGGUGAGAAAUGAAAAAAAGUACACCUGUUUGCACUUUUUAACAUUAGUAGUAGGAAGUAUUAUGUAAAGUGACUACUGCAAACAACUGGAAGUUUAGCUUGGCAAAUGGCAGGCAGUCUCUGCACAAUGUUGUUGCCUGCAUAGGGAAAUUCCUAGCAUGACUGAUUCAAGAAUUUAACAUAGCUGACACCUUGCUGAAAAAAAAGAUAGAUUCAAUUUCCAAGCACCUAUUUUUGAAAUAUAACAUUACUGAAGAAUUUAAGCAGUGUAUCCAAAAAGGAAAGAGUGAAGAAAAAAAAUUCCUUUCCAUAUUUCCGACAUCUUCAUUUUAUGAGAAAGCUGCAGUGGUGAGUUCAGUUCCUUUCUACAUCAAAGGACAGCUGUAACCAGUUCUGGAAGUGGGUUAACAUGUGAUAAUUAAGUGACUUUAAAUAUUAAUCAUCCUAUUUAAAAGUAGCAUUGGCAAAGAAAUAGAUCCCAAAAGAGAAGUAAAAUUACAUUAUAAACACUAUUCUGUUAAAAGGGGACCUAUUCAAGUGCUUUCUUUGAAGGCAGAUGAGAACUUAUCCAGUGUCUGGGUACAUUCCCAGGGUGCUAUGGGGAGAUGAAUUUUUUUCAUAAUUUGACAAACUUCUUCCAAGACACACAGUGCACAGAUUUAAAAUGCAUUUUUCCUGUCGUGUGUCUGUGUUUAUGGGUGAAUACCAUAUGGACUUUGGUCUGGGCUUUACUCAUCUGAAAAGCACUGGGAGAGGGCUCCGUGUUUCAGUUAACUGUUUCCUGUCAUGCAGACAAAACAUGUUUAUGUGAAGGAAGCAAAAAUGACAAAGCUAUGUCAAAGUAAACAAGUGCAUGACUGAAAUUUCAUUUCCUCAGGGUUUGGAAUAUUUUCAUUGUUGUUAUUCACAUCUGGAUAAAAAGGACGGAUUAGGUAUCACAACUGUUAGCUUCAGCUUUUAUCAGGGAACUGAAGCUUUGAACUGUUUACAUAAUUUGAAAGCUAAGCUGAGCCUGAAGGCAGCAAUCAACUUAAAGAUUCGUCCUACAGUAGUGUCUUGACUGUUAAUGUUGAAAUGGAGCGGAUGUGCCUGAUUGACACAAAGUCAGGCAAGGCCUUAGUAGGGAUUCUGGAAACUGAUAAAAAUGAUAGAAUGUUUUUAUAAAAUUGUGCUCUCUUGUACAGUGGCUAAGGGAAGAAGUGGAAAUAUUCAUGUAGAUCAACUUGGAUGGGUGUGACUUUGUACAGCCUACCCUCCAGUGCAGAGGAUUGACUGCAAAUUUUCUCAUAGAAAACUGAAGUAAAUAAAAAUACACUGUUUGGUUAAAAUUGGAAAUUUGUGCAUUCAGCCUUCUAGGUUUUUUGAGGGGGGGAUGUCUUAUUUUCUGUGAUAUAAGAAAGUUAGUUCAAUCCUGAAGAUGCUGUUUAAGCUAAAUCCUGCUGUUCUUGUGCUGACAUUUAGUGAAAUGAAUGUUGUAUUUGG